AUGACACCAAGGGGAGGAAAUCUCCUAGAGUUUUUCAAUGACCUAAUCAGUCCUAUAACUGGAAGCUGGGACGAGCAUCUGGUCCGAGACACAUUCUGGACCGCGGAUGCAGAUUGCAUAUUGAAGAUACCGGUCAGGGAGGGGGUUCAAGACUUCAUAGCCUGGCAGUUUGACCCUAAAGGCGUGCAUUCGGUAAAAAGCGCUUAUAAGCUUCACACCCAUCUCGAGAAAAUGGAGAAGGACGGGGGUGCUGGCAGCAGCUCCAUGGUGCCGGGGACUUUGGACACUUGCCAGGACGAUGCUUGGAAACGGAUAUGGAAACUUCCUUGCCCAAGGAAUAUCCAGAUGUUUGCCUGGCGGGUGAAGCAUGAAUCCUUAGCUUUGCGGACAAACCUGACUCGGAGAGGGAUACCUAUUGAAGAUAAAACCUGCUUAUUUUGUGGUCGGGCGGAAGAGGAUGGAGCACACCUUUUCAUAAAGUGCAAAGUGGUGAAGGAGGUCUGGAGGGAGUUGUCAAUGGAGGCUGAGCGUAUGGAACUGGAAGGCAUAUCAUCGGUGCAUGCAAUGAUGGAUUUCCUUUGGACAGUAGAAGAACAGAAAAGGGUCCGGAUUCUGACCUCAUGGUGGUUGUGGUGGAGCAACCGUAACAAGGUUAGAUAG
rnacentral:rRNA from 1 species